UUGCAUGUGGAAAUGCCUCUCCUUCUUUCUUGUGGAGCAGGAAUACAUCCAUAACAUGCUACAUUGAAGUAGGAGUCCUCAGGGCUGCCAACCUUCCAGUAGAGGUUGAGUAGUAGUAUAUUUCUCCUACAUCA